UAAAAAAAUUUAAAAUAAAACAUUUUGUUUCAUUUCUGGCGCAGUCGGUAGGAUCAACCAGAAUACUUCUAUCUGCGAAAAAGAUAGAUACGCGAAUAGUAUCCAAAUCUUUAUCUGCGAAAAAGAUAGAUACGCGAAAAGAAUCCAAAUCAGAAAACAAAUGUUAACAAAACGAAAACAUUUCUUAUAAUCUCAUGUAGAUACUCACUAUAAUCAUUUUAUAAAUAUUGCUGUAUCUAUUAAUAGCCGUGUUUUUUUUCGCAAAUCUGUACCUAUAGAAUUGUUGAAAAAAACGACAUCGGGAGUAAGCAACUUCUUUCCUUAAAGUUAGAAGCACUGUACACACUAUGGCAUUUUCCAGCUGUAUUGAGACUAGCAUCAACAAGCAUCCAAAAACGUCACUUUUAACUUCUCUGAACAAAUUAUCGAUUACAUGUAGAUAAUAUUAUAUUAGCAUCACCGUUUCGAAAAUGAUCUGGCCUUAGCUAAAUCUGUAAAGAGUCAAGUAGUUGUUCUAUUUACAUGUUAAGCGCUUAUACCCGAUGUCCUUUUUUUCUACGAUUCAAUAUGGAUUUGCAAAAAAACACCUAAUAAAAAUCCCCAAUGAAAUUUCACCACACAAUGAAGAAUGUCAUAUUUUUGUAUUAGUGUGCGUUCUUAACGUAUCCAAGUGCAUAAUUAUAAUGAAAUUUCACCACACAAUUAUCUAUGAAAAAUGACAUAUUUUUGCAUUAGUGUGCGUUCUUUUUCCACCAAAGAACUCCAAGCCAGAUCUAUUUGAUCUUUAUAGUUAUUAAUCUAUACGUUCUUGAAUCUCGGCUAAUCGUACAUACAUUCGUGUUUUCGUGCAAAAUUGUGCAAAGUUGUGAAUUUAGAAAAAAAGAGUUUAAAAUAAGAAACAAGACAUUUCAGUUUAAAAAGUUUAAAACGUGUUUAACUCAUUCGCGUUUUUCUAAAAGAAUUCCGAUUUAAUCCACACAGAUAAAAUUUUUCGAAAUUAAUACGGACUUACAUACAUAAUAAAACCAAAUUAAGCACCCUCAUUGGUCAAAAACGAAUUUUACCUUCAGUAAAUAUCAGGAAUACUACCGAACGUCAUCCAGAGGGCGAAUAUACAACAAAUUUUCGAAUAACAAGAAGUCGUUUCGCCUAUCUGGAAGUCCUUGUUUUUUUAGAACCGGAAGGAAACAAUCCAGUACUUGAUUCUGAAUCAAACGCAGAGGAAAUAAUUAGAUCAAUCAAGUUCGAUAACCUGACAGCGGAAGAGUUUGAUCGGUAUUGGCAGGAUUGCACAAACUACCGUCUUAAUAAAAUACAAGCUUGUAGUUCAACGGCUGAGGCCUUAGAAAAGUGGCCAUAUUAUAAAAAGCCUCUUGGUUUUCGACUGAUUGAUAUGGACUUUAAAGUUCUUCACGCAAAUGCGUGUUCACUGUUGGACAACUGGGAAGCACAAAGAACAAAGAUUGCUUUGUUUUUAACAAAGGAUCAAAACUUAAAGGACAGGCGAUUGGUUCAACUUCUUAAGGAAUGGAUGAGUGACAAGUUAGAUGACAGUAAAAUCUUUUCCUUCCUUUUUUACUUGCGAAAUACAAUUGGGCAAGUUCUGCAUUUAGAAAAAAAUUGAACUCGAGAUUUUGAGUUGACAUUACUAUGACAGCGAACACAAUUAAAGUAGG